UAGGGAAUCUUCGGCGAUGGACGAAAGUCUGACCGAGCAACGCCGCGUGAGUGAAGAAGGUUUUCGGAUCGUAAAACUCUGUUGGUAGAGAAGAACGUUGGUGAGAGUGGAAAGCUCAUCAAGUGACGGUAACUACCCAGAAAGGGACGGCUAACUACGUGCCAC
rnacentral:rRNA from 1 species